CUUAGCAGAGAUGCUUUGGUGCCUUCGGGAACUCUGAGACAGGUGCUGCAUGGCUGUCGUCAGCUCGUGUUGUGAAAUUGUUGGGUUAAGUCCCGNAACGAGCGCAACCCUUAUCCUUUGUUGCCAGCGGUUCGGCCGGGAACUCAAAGGAGACUGCCGGUGAUAAACCGGAGGAAGGUGGGGAUGACGUCAAGUCAUCAUGGCCCUUACGGCCAGGGCUACACACGUGCUACAAUGGCGCAUACAAAGAGAAGCGACCUCGCGAGAGCAAGCGGACCUCAUAAAGUGCGUCGUAGUCCGGAUUGGAGUCUGCAACUCGACUCCAUGAAGUCGGAAUCGCUAGUAAUCGUAGAUCAGAAUGCUACGGUGAAUACGUUCCCGGGCCUUGUACACACCGCCCGUCACACCAUGGGAGUGGGUUGCAAAAGAAGUAGGUAGCUUAACCUUCGGGAGGGCGCUUACCACUUUGUGAUUCAUGACUGGGGUGAAGUCGUAACAAGGUAAGCGUAGCGAG
rnacentral:rRNA from 1 species